GGAUAUAGCUCAGUGGUAGAGCACUUGCCUGGUAUGCAUGAGGCCCUGCCUCCCAAAUAAAUAUAAGAAAUUAAAUAAAGUUAAUUUUAUCCA
rnacentral:tRNA from 1 species